rnacentral:rRNA from 1 species
CACUCCUACGGGAGGCAGCAGUGGGGAAUAUUGGACAAUGGGCGCAAGCCUGAUCCAGCCAUGCCGCGUGAGUGAUGAAGGCCCUAGGGUUGUAAAGCUCUUUCACCGGAGAAGAUAAUGACGGUAUCCGGAGAAGAAGCCCCGGCUAACUUCGUGCCAGCAGCCGCGGUCAUACGAAGGGGGCUAGCGUUGUUCGGAAUUACUGGGCGUAAAGCGCACGUAGGCGGAUCGAUCAGUCAGGGGUGAAAUCCCAGGGCUCAACCCUGGAACUGCCUUUGAUACUGUCGAUCUGGAGUAUGGAAGAGGUGAGUGGAAUUCCGAGUGUAGAGGUGAAAUUCGUAGAUAUUCGGAGGAACACCAGUGGCGAAGGCGGCUCACUGGUCCAUUACUGACGCUGAGGUGCGAAAGCGUGGGGAGCAAACAGGAUUAGAAACCCCGGUAGUCCCAUGA